CAACAGGGAUUGCCCCAGUAACGGCGAGUGAAGCGGCAGCAGCUCAGAUUUGAAAUCUGGCCCCCUCGGGGGCCCGAGUUGUGGUCUGCAGAGGAUGCUCUGGGCGCGGCGCCUUCCGAGUUCCCUGGAACGGGACGCCACAGAGGGUGAGAGCCCCGUCCGGUCGGACGCCAGGCCCGUGUAGAGCUCCUUCGACGAGUCGAGUAGUUUGGGAAUGCUGCUCAAAGUGGGAGGUACAUGUCUUCUAAAGCUAAAUACCGGCCAGAGACCGAUAGCGCACAAGUAGAGUGAUCGAAAGAUGAAAAGCACUUUGGAAAGAGGGUUAAAGAGCACGUGAAAUUGCUGAAAGGGAAGCGCCCGCGACCAGACUUGGGCCCGGCAGGUCACCCAGGCUCUCGGGCCAGGGGCACUCUGCCGGGCGCAGGCCAGCAUCGGCUCGGCGCGGGGGACAAAGGCGGCGGGAACGUGGCUCCUCAGGGAGUGCUUAUAGCCCGCCGCGCCAUGCCCCGUGCCGGGCCGAGGCACGCGCACCCCGCAAGGAUGCUGGCGUAAUGGUCGCCGGCGACCCGUCUUGAAACACGGACCAAGGAGUCGUCCUCGUAUGCGAGUGUUGGGGUGCCAAACCCCUACGCGCAGUGAAAGCGAACGCAGGUGAGAGCCGAAGCCUCGGCGCAUCAUCGACCGAUCCUGAUGUUCUCGGAUGGAUUUGAGUAGGAGCAUACGGGGCCGGACCCGAAAGAAGGUGAACUAUGCCUGUGUAGGGUGAAGCCAGAGGAAACUCUGGUGGAGGCUCGCAGCGGUUCUGACGUGCGAAUCGAUCGUCAAACAUGGGCAUGGGGG
rnacentral:rRNA from 1 species